rnacentral:lncRNA from 1 species
UCCCCAUGUGCUUUUCCAGUUCUUCUGGAAUUGGGGGACCCCCGCCAAAGACUGAGCCCCCUGUCUCCUCCAUCAUUUGGUUUCCUCUUGGCUUUGGGGAUACUUCUAAAUUUUGGGAGCUCCUCCAUCUCCAAUGGCUGGGAUUUGUGGCAGGGAUUCCACUCAGAACCUCUCUGGAAUUUGUGCCUGAUGUGCCUUCCACUGGAUUUUGGGGUUCCCAGCACCCCAUGUGGAUUUUGGGGGGUCCCUUUUGUGUCUCCCCCGCCAUUCAAGGACUCCUCUCUUUCUUCACCAAGAAGCACAGAAUUCUGCUGGGCCUUUGCUUGUUUAUUUUGU